GUUUAAAAAAUAAGGUUAAGUUAAUAAGGGCGCACGGUGGAUGCCUUGGCACUAGAAGCCGAAGAAGGACGUGACAAACGACGAAAUGCUUUGGGGAGCUGUAAGUAAGCAAAGAUCCAGAGAUGUCCGAAUGGGGGAACCCACUAGCUAAUGGCUAGUAUCCAUAACUGUUAAGGUUAUGAGAAGGAAGACGCAGUGAACUGAAACAUCUAAGUAGCUGCAGGAAGAGAAAGCAAACGCGAUUGCCUGAGUAGCGGCGAGCGAAAAGGCAGGAGGGCAAACCGAAGAGUUUACUCUUCGGGGUUGUAGGACUGCGCUGUGGGACGACAAGAUUAUAGAAGAAGGCCUUGGGAAGGGUCGCCAAAGAGAGUAAUAGCCUCGUAUUCGAAAUAGUCUUUAACCCUAGCAGUAUCCUGAGUACGGCGAGACACGAGGAAUCUCGUCGGAAUCUGGGAGGACCAUCUCCUAACCCUAAAUACUCACUAGUGACCGAUAGUGAACCAGUACCGUGAGGGAAAGGUGAAAAGCACCCCGGGAGGGGAGUGAAAGAGAACCUGAAACCGUGUGCCUACAAGAAGUUCGAGCCCGUUAAUGGGUGAGAGCGUGCCUUUUGUAGAAUGAACCGGCGAGUUACGUUUAUGUGCGAGGUUAAGUUGAAGAGACGGAGCCGAAGGGAAACCGAGUCUUAAUAGGGCGUAAGUACGUGGACGUAGACCCGAAACCAUGUGACCUACCCAUGAGCAGGUUGAAGGUGCGGUAAGACGCACUGGAGGACCGAACCAGGGCACGUUGAAAAGUGCUUGGAUGACUUGUGGGUAGCGGAGAAAUUCCAAACGAACUUGGAGAUAGCUGGUUCUCUCCGAAAUAGCUUUAGGGCUAGCGUCGAUAUGAAGUCUCUUGGAGGUAGAGCACUGUUUGGGUGAGGGGUCCAUCCCGGAUUACCAAUCUCAGAUAAACUCCGAAUGCCAAUGAGAUAUGAUCGGCAGUCAGACUGCGAGUGCUAAGAUCCGUAGUCGAAAGGGAAACAGCCCAGACCACCAGCUAAGGUCCCCAAAUAACUGUUAAGUGGAAAAGGAUGUGGGGUUGCACAGACAACUAGGAUGUUAGCUUAGAAGCAGCUAUUCAUUCAAAGAGUGCGUAAUAGCUCACUAGUCGAGUGACCCUGCGCCGAAAAUGUACCGGGGCUAAAACAGUUUACCGAAGCUGUGGAUUACCGUUAAGGUAAUGGUAGGAGAGCGUUCUAUGUGUGAUGAAGGUAUACUGUGAAGAGUGCUGGAACGCAUAGAAGUGAGAAUGCCGGUAUGAGUAGCGAAAGACAGGUGAGAAUCCUGUCCACCGUAAGACUAAGGAUUCCAGGGGAAGGCUCGUCCGCCCUGGGUUAGUCGGGACCUAAGGAGAGACCGAAGGGUGUAUCCGAUGGACAACAGGUUGAUAUUCCUGUACUAGAGUAUAUAGUGAUGGAGGGACGCAGUAGGCUAACUAAACCGGACGACUGGAAGAGUCCGGCUAAGCAGUGAGGUGUGAUGUGAGUCAAAUGCUUACAUCUAUAACAUUGAGCUGUGAAGGGGAGCGAAGUUAAGUAGCGAAGUUAGAGACGUCACACUGCCAAGAAAAGCUUCUAGCGAUACGUAUACUCUACCCGUACCGCAAACCGACACAGGUAGUCGAGGCGAGUAGCCUCAGGUGAUCGAGAGAACUCUCGUUAAGGAACUCGGCAAAAUGGCCCCGUAACUUCGG
rnacentral:rRNA from 1 species